rnacentral:rRNA from 1 species
GCUAAGAAUAUUCCGCAAUGGAGGAAACUCUGACGGAGCGACGCCGCGUGGAUGAUGAAGGUCGGAAGAUUGUAAAAUCCUUUUUAGUGUGAGGAAUAAGGAGAGUGAGAGAAACGCUUUCCGGUGACUGUAGCAUUAGAAUAAGGGGCGGCUAAUUACGUGCCAGCAGCCGCGGUAACACGUAAGCCCCGAGCGUUGUUCGGAAUUAUUGGGCGUAAAGGGCAUGUAGGCGGUAAUGCAAGUCCGGUGUGAAAGGCAGGAGCUCAACUCCUGGACUGCGCUGGAAACUGUAAUACUGGAGUCACUGAGGGGCAUCCGGAAUUCCUGGUGUAGGGGUGAAAUCUGUAGAUAUCAGGAAGAACACCGGUGGCGAAGGCGGGGUGCCAGCAGAUGACUGACGCUGAGGUGCGAAGGUGCGGGGAGCAAACAGG